CGUGGUGUGGCUCAGUGGUAUAGCAUAUGCCAGGCAUAAGUGAAGGCCUAGGUUCAAUCCCCAGCACUGCAG
rnacentral:tRNA from 1 species